GCUUACGGCCAUACCACCCUGAGCACGCCCGAACGCGUGUGAUCUUGGAAGCUAAGCAGGCUCGGGCCUGGUUAGUACUUGGAUGGGAGACUGCCUAGGAAUACCAGGUGCUGUAAGUU
rnacentral:rRNA from 1 species